GGUGAUGGGAGUUGUAGUUCAACAACAUCUGGGGACCCACAGGUUGAGAAAGGCUGCUAUGGGGUAAUGAAUUCCUGUUUAGUCCCCAGAACCAAGUUGACUUGAAUUCGAAGGAAGAGGAGAUAAAAUAUAUAUGGGAAACCCAGCCAGAUGGGCGGGGUACAAAUAAUAAAUUAUUAUUAUUAUUAUUAUUAUUAUUAUUAUUAUUAUUAUAUGUUUCAUAGUCAGCUGUCAGUUGAUAGAAAUGGAAACCAGCUGCUGCUACUGUUGCUUCCUUUAUGGAUUCAACCCCCCCCCCCCCCAAACCCAUUACCUUUCUUAAUGACAGGGAUGGUUUAAUACUACUGUUUACUCUCUAUAUGUUACAAUAUGUCAAACACAUAGACUUUUAACUGCUGUAAGUUUUAUUCAGUGGGAAUGUAUAGUUAUACAAGCCCAAAAUAUGGGUGGGACAGUCACUGUCGGAUAGCCAAGUCCUCCUGUUCCAUUUUGCCUCUUCUUUGCCUUAUUUUCUGGUCUUCUAACUAGAAUGACCACUCACAGCCUCAGACGUGUACUAUUUGGACUUGAAUUCUCCCUGGAGAUUCAUUACAUCAGGAGCUGCCCUGCUAAAUUUCUUCCAGGGCUUAGAUUCCACCGACAAACUGCGGAAGUCAGAUUCAUACUACACAGUUUUGCAAAAGCAAUAGAAAUGCAGUUGUAGGGCCAGAACAUUCAGUGUGCGGAAGACUAUAAAAGUAAAGGAAGGCCAUGAAAUCAGCCCUCCAUGCAAGCAUUUAUAUGAAUGCAUAGCCUUGUAGAGUAGCAGUUUAGGGAUGGGAGGUGGGGGAAUUUGCAUUUUAGUGAGAAGCUAGCUAAUGCACACUUCUGGAACCAGGGUGUGAACCCAAAUGCAAUCAUUGUGCAGGGCACCAAAACUAGGGUUGCCAUACGUCUGGAAUUUGUCCGGGAUUUCAAUGAUGGAAUUAUCAUCGGUUGGAAAUCGGCAAAAUGUCACACAAUGAAGUGUGCGUUGCUUUCCCAAAACCAGCUUUUGUGCCCCGGAUUUUUACCUCUUGAAAUAUGGCAACCCUAACCAAAACAUGUAUUUUGACCUUUAAAAGCAUUAACCACUUGACCACACGUCUUUAAUAAGUUUUUUUUUCUACUUCCCAUCCUACAUUUUUAAAGAGCAGAUUCUCAGACAACAUAAUUCUGCCUUAUUGUUACUGUUAUUAUUACGAUGAUGAUGAUGAUGAUUUUGCAGCAUACGGCCUAUAUAAAGAGUCCACUCUCUGGACAGUCUGUUGGCCAUCUUUGCUUUGGCCAAACUAGAGACGAUCAAGCUGCUACGCUUAAUAAUGCAACAUGCUUUUUGUCGAGCCGUUUCUCCAGCAUUUGGCAUAUUAUAUAACUACAGAAGUACAAGCAGUAAUGCUCCUCUUCUGUAACUACUCCUGCUGAUUCCUCCCCCCGCAAGUUGUCAGUAUUAAUGACUUUGAGAGUACUUAACUGUUGCUUUAUCUUGGCAGCAUUCCUUCAUUCUGCCCUGUUGCCUAACCAACCUUGAAAGGAACCCCAACAAAAAUUAUGUUUAGAAGUAAGGAAGUUUUUAUUCUGUGUGUCAUUUUAAACGUAAUCCUAUUUAUUUUUAAACACUGUCUGCUGAUAACGAAGACUGAAAAAGGGUGGGCUUUUAUAAACUGUUGCUCUGGUACUUUGGUAGCCAGAGGUUUGUUAGCUUUUUCAUAGUUACGAUAUGUGCAUGAACUGUAACCCUGUUCUUAUUAAUCAUGAUUAUAUGCUUAUUCAGAUUGUAACUUCUUUAAGCACACAGAUUUUCCUAAUGGUGCUUGUGUAUAUUCUGCAAUAUUCCCUGUUAUUUAUUUUUGCAUGAGGUUGGUUGGAUUUGUGUGUGUAUUAUAUAUGUAAUAUGUGUAUAUUAUAUAGUAUGUGUAUAUUAUAUAUAUAAUUUUUCCAGUAUUCGCACAGAGUGCCUCAUGUACCUAUUUGCGUACCAUCAGGAAGAAAAUGCGGAGAACAUUGGCGGGCGGGGGGGAAUCACUGGCUAUAGG